CCUACGGGGUGCAGCAGUGAGGAAUAUUGGUCAAUGGCCGGAAGGCUGAACCAGCCAAGCCGCGUGAAGGACGAAGGUGCCAAGCAUUGUAAACUUCUUUUGUCAAGGGACAAAAUCAGGCUCGAGAGCCUGACCGAGGGUACUUGAAGAAAAAGCAUCGGCUAACUCCGUGCCAGCAGCCGCGGUAAUACGGAGGAUGCGAGCGUUAUCCGGAUUUAUUGGGUUUAAAGGGUGCGUAGGCGGGCUGUUAAGUCAGCGGUAAAAGCCCGGGGCUCAACCCCGGCGAGCCGUUGAAACUGGGUGUCUUGAGGGCAGGAGAGGAAAGUGGAAUUCCUAGUGUAGCGGUGAAAUGCGUAGAUAUUAGGAGGAACACCAGUGGCGAAGGCGACUUUCUGGACUGUACCUGACGCUGAGGCGCGAAAGCGUGGGUAGCGAACGGGAUUAGAUACCCUUGUAGUC
rnacentral:rRNA from 1 species